rnacentral:rRNA from 1 species
UAUGGCUCAGGAUGAACGCUAGCUACAGGCUUAACACAUGCAAGUCGAGGGGCAGCAUGAUCUUAGCUUGCUAAGAUUGAUGGCGACCGGCGCACGGGUGAGUAACGCGUAUCCAACCUUCCCCUUAGUAGGGCAUAGCCCGGUGAAAAUCGGAUUAAUACCCUAUGUUGUGUCAUGAGGACAUCUGAAUAACACUAAAGAUUUAUCGCUAAGGGAUGGGGAUGCGUCCGAUUAGGUAGUCGGCGGGGUAACGGCCCACCGAGCCCUCGAUCGGUAGGGGUUCUGAGAGGAAGGUCCCCCACACUGGUACUGAGACACGGACCAGACUCCUACGGGAGGCAGCAGUGAGGAAUAUUGGUCAAUGGGCGUAAGCCUGAACCAGCCAAAGUAGCGUGCAGGAUGACGGCCCUAUGGGUUGUAAACUGCUUUUAUACGGGGAUAAAGGGAGGGACGUGUCCCUUAUUGUAGGUACCGUAUGAAUAAGGACCGGCUAAUUCCGUGCCAGCCGCCGC